rnacentral:rRNA from 1 species
CGCAUCUGUGCAUGCAGCAUAUCAAUAAGCGGAGGAAAAGAAACUAACAAGGAUUCCCCUAGUAACGGCGAGUGAAGCGGGAAGAGCUCAAAUUUGAAAUCUUAAAGGGUUUCCCUUUACGAACUGUAGUUUAAAGAAGUGUUUUCUGUUGAGGUUUUGGUAAAAGUUCUUUGGAAUAGGACAUCAUAGAGGGUGAGAAUCCCGUAUUUGACCUUUACUUUCAACUUUGUGAUACACUUUCAAAGAGUCGGAUUGUUUGGGAAUGCAGUCCAAAAUGGGUGGUAAAUUUCAUCUAAAGCUAAAUAUUGGCGAGAGACCGAUAGCGAACAAGUACCGUGAGGGAAAGAUGAAAAGAACUUUGAAAAGAGAGUUAAACAGUACGUGAAAUUGUCAAAAGGGAAGCGCUUGACACCAGUGUUGUUUUUCUGAAAAUCAAUUAAAGAACUGUUUAUGCUAAGCUGUUUAGACUUUAUCAGCUAUCUGCUUAGUUUUGAGCUUUUCUUUAAUGCACUUUUCAGUUAACAAGUCAACAUCAAUUUCUUUUGCUGUAAAAAAGCUUGAGGAAGGUGGCUUGAGAUUCGUCUUAAGUGUUUAUAGCCUCUUGCCUAUGCAGUCGGAGAGAUUGAGGUCUGCAGCGUAGAUCCUUCGGGGCUAAAUGCAUUUGUGCUAAGUUAUAGCAUUUUAUAGACAACUUGUUGACUAUGAUUUGUCUUGUAGCUUACUCGCUUAUGUUAUUUUACCUACGCUUAGGAUGUUGAAUCUGUGCGAGACUAC